UCCCUGGUAGCUCAGAUGGUAAAGCGUCUGCCUACAAUGCUGGAGACCUGGGUUCGAUCCCUGGGUCGGGAA
rnacentral:tRNA from 1 species